UACGUAGGGGGCAAGCGUUGUCCGGAUUUAUUGGGCGUAAAGAGCGUGUAGGCGGCCAUGCAGGUCAGCUGUGAAAACUCGAGGCUCAACCUCGAGACGUCGGUUGAAACCGCAUGGCUAGAGUCCGGAAGAGGAGAGUGGAAUUCCUGGUGUAGCGGUGAAAUGCGCAGAUAUCGGGAAGAACACCCGUGGCGAAGGCGGCUCUCUGGGACGGUACUGACGCUGAGACGCGAAAGCGUGGGGAGCGAACAGG
rnacentral:rRNA from 1 species